rnacentral:rRNA from 1 species
GUAGUGGCAAGCGUAUCCGGAAUUAUAGUCGUAAGCGCGAGCAGGCGCUCGUUAAGUCUGAUGUGAAAGCCCACUCCUCAGCCUCGAGGGUCAUUGGCACUGGGGGACUCGAGUGCAGAAGAGAAGAGUGGAAUUCCACGUGUAGCGGUGAACAUGCGUAGAGAUGUGGAGGAACACCAGUGGCGAAGGCGACUCUCUGGUCCGUAACUGACGAUGAGGCGUGAUAGCGUGGAGAGCAAACAGCAUUCGAUACCAUGGUAGUCCAUACCGUAAACGAUGAGUGAUAAGUGUUAGAGGGUUUCUGCCCAUUAGUGCUGCAGCAAACGCAUUAAGCGCUCCGCCUGGCGAGUACGGCCGCAAGGCUGAAACUCAAAGGAAUUGACGGGGGCCCGCACAACCGGUGCAGCAUGUGAUGUAAUUUGAAGCAACGCGAAGAGCCUUACCAGGUCUUGCCAUCCUAUGACACUCAUAGAGAUAGGACGUUCCCCUUCGGGGGACAGAGUGACAGGUGGUGCAUGGUAGUCGUCAGCUCGUGUCGUGAGAUGUUAGGUUAAGUCCCGCAACGAGCGCAACCCUUGCUCUUAGUUGCCAGCAUUAAGUUGGGCACUCUAAGGAGACUGCCGGUGACAAACCGGAGGAAGGUGGGGAUGACGUCAAAUCAUCAUGCCCCUUAUGACUAGGGCUACACACGUGAUACAAUGGAUGGUACAAAGGGCAGCAAAACCGCGAGGUCGAGCAAAUCCCAUAAAACCAUUCUCAGUUCGGAUUGUAGUCUGCAACUCGCCUACAUGAAGCUGGAAUCGCUAGUAAUCGCGGAUCAGCAUGCCGCGGUGAAUACGUUCCCGGGCCUUGUACACACCGCCCGUCACACCACGAGAGGGUUAACACCCGAAGUCGGAGUGGUUACACCCUUCUUGGAGCACAGCCGACCUAUAGUGGUUCAAGGC